CAGACCCCGAGGGCCAUGCAGUUCCUCUCACAAUGGCAGGCACACAUCCACAAUGUCCAGAGGGUCCAGGGCACCACCAUAAAGAAGAAGAAGAAGGGACGCUACUCAAAGGACUUCUGCCCGGCGGAUCACGGGCCUCUCCUGAGCAAGGCGAUGCUCAUCAUUUCACAAGAGGAGGAACACCCCAAGCCUUCCUCCAGCUCCGAGCCUGACUACAGCGAAAUAUAUAGAUACCUCUCUCAGCUGUUGGCGGGACAGGAGCCAACCCAGCUGAGCCAGGGCAGCGCUGCAAAGGUUUUGGAGGUGAUGGAGAAGGUGCAGCUGCUGGCAAGCCACAGCCUGGACCUGAAAAAACUGUACCACCACUUGAGCCAAAACAUGGCCUCGUACCUCCAGCCCUGGAGUAAGAAGGGAGCAGACUCCUCUCCCAGCACCUUACCACAAGGGGAGAGUUCCAGCACCUUGCCACAGGGGGAGAGUUCCAGCUCCUUACCACAGGGGAAGAGUUCCAGCACAUUACCACCGGGGGAGAGUUCCAACACCUCACCACAGGGGGAGAGUUCCAGCACCUUACUACAGGGGGAGAGUUCCAGCACCUUACCACAAGGGGAAAGUUCCAGCACCUCACCACAGGGGGAAAGUUCCAGUGCCUCAUCACAGGGGGAGAGUUCCAGCGCUGAGAUGGAUGAGUGCCCACUGUUUCUCGAGGUGGAGGACCAGUUGAGGACCAGCUCCAAGGACCUGGCGGGCCACGACCCCCGCUGUGAGAAGGUGAAAGAGAGACUCACAGAGAAGUGCCAGAAGAAGCAGGAAGCAAGGAGCCUCCGCGUCUCAGAGCUGCCCGGCCUCAACCCCUUCAUGCUGCCACCUCGCCUGCUGCACAAACCCGUGGGCGAUGCCGUGAGUGCCCUGCUGGAGCGUUAGUGUGCUGCCGCUGCCUACGCCCCUUGUCGCCGCACCUGCCAAGGCCACAGACCGUUAGUCGGCUCGUGAUGCAAGACAUCCACAGCCCACCACCUCACUUCCUCCCUCACCUCCACAUGCGAUGCCUGCCACUCCCAUGGCUGUCCUCACCUUCAAGGCUAGAUUUGGCAGUGCUGCAGCCAGGGGACUGCCCGAGUGGCCCCACCCAAGUGGACUUCAUAGCUGAGUCUGACUAUAGCUACAAAUCUGCAGGCCAGUGUUGGAACCCGGCCCGGGCAGUCAGCGUGCAUCCCAGCCAGCUGUUGGUCCUCCCUUUGGGGCUGGGGGAUAAAUGUGUACCUUAGUUUGUGAGUGUUUUGAUUUACAAGCAAAAAAAUCCCACAAAAAAUGCCUUGGUUUACGAGUGGUGACUUGGUAUUCAACCCUAUUUGUUCCCUUUUUUAUCGCCACUUCCCAGAUAGGGACACAGGCUAUAUGGAGGCCGUCAUUGUCAAGCGCGUACCGUCAUUCGAGGAGGGACCACAAACCCUUGCCAGGUGACGGCUCAUGAAGGGGAGGGGAGGAUGCCAAUAGACCAACUCUAUCGGCUGACGUCAGCCUAGCCAACCAAGUCGGUCUUUCAACGAGGACUGGCGAGUCUCUUUGUACAAGUCGAAGACGUGAGCGUGAGUCCUCUUUGUUCACUGCAAGACAAGAGUGUUCAAAGCAGAAAACAAUGGGAAUAGUCUCAGUUAGAGCUGCCACCUUGAUCUAAAACAAAUAAGGAACGCAACAUCCCAUUCGGCAGUACAGAACGAAUCUAUAUUCAAAGGAACGUGUGGCAACCCUAAAAUUUCUCUGGCCUGCCAUGACUGACAGCCGCUGCCCGCUGCUGGUGAAGGUUAGAGGAAGGGGGGAGGGAGAUGUUACGACACGUAUUUUAUAUGUAUUUCAGGACGACCCUUGACAAACAUAAUUUUAUGGACUGGCUUUGUGGUUCACCGAAAAAUGCGCUCUACAUUUUUUAAAUACUGAAUUUUAUCUGUUUAACCAUUCAGACAGCCAAAUACGGAACAAAUAGCGUUCCAUAUUUUAAGGAAAGGGUGGCAAGUUUGCAACCCUGAGGCGUCAUCUGCCUUCUUGAGCGACCACCUGUUCUGGAGACUGUUUUGCACCUCCCUCCUGUGAUCCACCAAAGUGCUUUAUCUUGUCCACAUGACUGGACGAACCAACACCACUUCUCAUUCUGUCACUCGUCAAGGACAACACACGUUAAUGUAUUCACAGUGAACCAACACCACUUCUCAUUCUGUCACUCGUCAAGGACAACACACGUUAAUGUAUUCACAGUGAACCAACACCACUUCUCAUUCUGUCACUCGUCAAGGACAACACGCGUUAAUUUAUUCACAGUUUCGGGAUUUACAGUUCAUUAGGAGUAUUUCAGCAGCUGCUUAGAGUCAUUGCAUGCGACGGAGUUUCUUAAAACGUCCUUUUUAUCCACAAAAUAUUGACAAACGGCAUCGCUUCACUUUCUUGUUUCUAACGAUGACGAUGAUGUUUUAUACUGGUAAGUUCUUUCUUAUCCACCAGUGAUGCUUUAAAAUGGUCUGUGGUGCAGCAAUAACACAACAGUAACCUCGUGAACUCUACGAGUAUGCCCACUCCCACCUGGCAGGGUUACCCAUAGGAAGCUCAGGAAAUGGUUAUCACCAUAGGCCUAUGGAGGUGUGGCCAGCAAGACAGUGGCCGUACCCAGCCCGGCCGCGGCUUGCGCAGGACUCCUGAUUCUUGUCAAAAAUUGGGGGAAUUCUUUAAAAUCUGACACACCAAAACAAGAAAUGCAAGAAUUUCACAAGAUUUGGGGUUAGUUCUUGCUUGGUCUAGGGUAAUUCUUGACCACCAGAUGACGGCUCUAGUCUCAGUCCGCGUUGUAAACUCGUAGAAAUAGCAUCCGUGCACUCAUGUCAUGUUUUCAGCACUUCAGUGUGAGUUCUUUGUGGUUUAACAAUGUCCCCCAGAAAGAUGGUUAAAAGGGAUGGUGCUGCAAAGAAGAAAACAGGAACGGAGGAUACUAUGCUCACAACAGGAACAGGGGGAGGGGGGCCUCGGCAUCUUGUAUGCCUUCCUGGACGUGACUAACUCCCGUUCACCCUCCAUCUCGAACGACACGUUGGGUUAGCUUCACGUUGGUGGUCAAAUGUAGUUCCAGUGCCUUGAGAUUAGGGAAACUGCGGCUGCUAAACCCCGGUGCAAACCCUACCCCUCAAGCAUUGCCAGCGGUUACGGAAGUCCCCGUAACAACCGUAACACAUUGAUUUGUGUUUCAUAUUAUUUAUCAUCGCUAUUUGUUAGUAAAAUUACUUUAAUUCUGUAAAAAAAUAACAUGUAAAAUGAUUUUUAUAAAAAUAUUUUUUUUAAGAUAUGGGACGCAUUAAUGGGAUUUACAUUAAUUUCAAUGGGGAAAUUCGAUUUGGUUUAUGAGUGUUUUGGUGUGCGAACAAUAUUCCAGAAUGAAUUAAACUCGUAAACUGAGGUUUGACUGUAUUUGUACAUGCGGGGUAUACCGUGUAUGGGUAACUUUUAGGCAUUUUCUGACCGAAAGAAGUGCGUAUUAUAUGCUGCAAAAUGCGGUAUAUUUCAUUCUUGGGACAUUUGGGAACUAUUGUGUCAAACGGAGGUUGGUUUUGUACCAGUAACAAUAACCCCUAGGCCUUCCAAAACCUAACCAUCGGGGUAUAACACGCAGGGUGAAUUUUCAAAUCUUCGAAAAAAGUGCGUCAUAUGGCAGGAAAUUUGGUAUUUUUUUCUCUUCCUUCUGUUGGCUUUCUCUUUUUCUUCCUCCUUUUGUCAUCUUUCUCUCCCGUCAUGUUAUUUCUUUCUCAUCCUGUCAUGUUUAAGUUUCUCUCUCUCCCUUUAUCUUUAUCUUACUUUAUCAUCUAUCUCUCUCGUUUCUCUCUCCUCACCUCAUCUCUCUCUCAUUCCCUCUCUUUAUCUCAUCUCUGUCUUUCUCUCCUAUCCCUUUCAUCUCUCCUUUUCAAUCUUCUUUUACCUCUUCUAAACUUGUUGAAAUAAAACACACUUGUUAGUAGAUCUAUUUAUUGGUAGAACACACACAUAAGAACACUGGAGGAGAGAGGGGAGGGGGGGUGUAGAUGUCUCUUAUGUGUCUGGGGGGCAUGUGUCUGGGGGGUUUGUAAACACACAGUGGGGAGACAUCCUGUGGGCCCUGUGAGCUGAGAGAGAGAGAGAGAGAGAGAGAGAGAGAGAGAGAGAGAGAGAGAGAGAGAGAGAGAGACAUUCCCUUUUUUUGUUCAUGUUCUCUUUCUCUUUUUUCUUCAACAUGUUUUCUUCUCUCAUCUUUUUCUCAUCUUUUCUUCUCUCUCUCUCUACAUAUGAGUGAGCAAUGUGCUAUGAUUGCCUAUGUAAGUAAUUGUUGUAUAUAUAUUAUGUUAAAAAUUGUGUAUAGUAUAUUUUUUAUAAGUUUCCACAGUGUAGACUCUGCCCUAGCCUGGUGUGGGGAAAGGGUUUUACAUUACAUAGAUUUACACAGAUUUACAUGAGGAAAGGGGCUCACAACACAUAGAUUUAAGGUCCCGACACACUUGUCCCCAAACAUUGUCGGAAACCUUGCUCCAAACACGUUGCCAGCAUAUCAGACACACCUUCCUGAACAUGCUGCCAACACUGUCAAAGCAACGGCUGAUGACACUGGUCCAGGCAAAUACUAUGACAUAUUCACUGCUGCCUUCUGGUACACAGACACGUGUCUCCAGCGGUGCUCAUAACAAUAUUGGCUGGUGAGGAUUUGUGUUGUAGUAUUUGUCCCGACCAGUGUCAUCAGGCAUUGCUUUCAAAGUGUUGGUAUUGCCUUCACAAAUUUGUUUCUGCUGUGUCCAGAGCAGUGUUCCUGACAGUGCUCGGGGGCAAGUGUGUCUGGGCCUUUACACAGACAUUAAUUCCAAACUAGGUGGUGGUCUGUCCUUGGGCCUAAGUGAAAUUGUAUUCUGUCAAAUGCCACCAAGACUUUGCAUUUCCACUUUAGUGAAUAUUAACCCUCUCACACACUUUCCUGCCAGUGGCAUGUAUGUUUGGGGCCCUAGUGCAUUUUCAUGCCCAUGGCCUGAAUGGGAACAAAAAUGUUAUUUUGAAAUACUUAUAUUCACACCAAUAAUGCCAUUUUCUGGUUGAACACAAGUAAUUUUUAUUGUCACUAAAUGUUAUUAAUGUGUUAGUGUACUAAUAACAAAGCCACUGAUAUAAUAUUUAAAGGGUGAGUGCAGUCUUGGGGGGGAACUGACAGAGAAACAAAAUAUUUUGGCGCGUAGAAAAAAGCUGCCCAGAGCAGGGAGGCUGCAAAGAGGCACAGGAAAGACAACUUAUUCAAACUUAUAGUGCAUGAGAGGGUUAAGUUGAUUUUAAGUUAUUACAAGCCACUUAUUGAAACCUUUACUGCACAAGAGAGUAAGUUAAAACAAGCCACCCCAUUCCCUGUACCCCCCCCUCCCCCAGCAGGUUUGGGCAGUAACUAUAGUGUAACCUUGCAAGUUGUUGUGAGAAUAUAGAUUAAUAAAGAAGAAACUGAAGACAACUUAAGUGUUUCUGUGUGUGUGUGUGUGUGUGUGUGUGUGUGUGGCGAACAUAUGACGUAAUGCCAGUAUGUAAAUGACGCAGCAACGAUAUAUAUCACAAUGGCAUUGGUUUGAACUGAAACAUACAAAGAUUAUGUCUUGUCCUAGACCUCAAUGAGCAGGCUCCUGGGUUACCAAGGCUGGCUCCCAGUCCUUUCCAAAGACGCACUAACAGGCACGUAUAACCACGGUACAGGCUCACCGUCACGUCCAGGAACGUGGCGGCCAAACGUGCUGACCACAAGCCUCGGGUGACCUCAGUGAACACCGCCAUCCCUGCCGCCUACGUCACCACUUCGCUGCCAUCACACCACACAAAAUACACAAACAAAACCUACCAUGGCACAAAACCACAAAAGUAACCCCCAUUCAAGCCACCAUACACCAUCUAAAACUAUAAAUCUAUAAAUGUAAUAAAUGAGUCAUGUAAACAUUGUAAUUGUACAUUGUACAGUACACAAUGCCUCGUUCAGGCGCCAAAUACGAAAUGCUCUGACGGCGCUUACACCCUCCCCUUUGAGUCCUCCUGACGAUUCAAAACUUGGCAGUCUCCAACUCCACCUCACGUAGCUUCCAGCAUAUAUAAGGUGCAUGAGGGACAGAUAGGUAGUACAACAACAUCUGAGACACAACAACACUUGCUUACAUCCCAAUAGUAUCCAUCAUCACCAUCAUUUCAUUGACGCCUGCUCCUAGGAGCUCCCACCAGGGGAUGGUCACGGCAGAAGAGCUUCCAACUUUCUCUAUCCAGACACUCCCUCCUUGCCUGCUCCAAGUUUCUCAAAGAUCUUUCCCCCCUCUCCCAAACGUACUCUUGCACCCUAUCCCUCCAUUUCACUGGAGGUCGUCCUCUAGCAUUCCCUCCCACUAUCUCACUCACAUACACCCUUCUGGUUAUCUUACUCUCUUCCAUUCGCUCCAUGUGGCCAAACCACUUUAAAGUCUGUCGCUUCACUUCUUCCACCACUCCACACUUCUUCCCUUCACCCCUGUGACACAUUCCAAAGCGCUCGUAUACACUUUCAUUACUCAUUCCAUCCAUUCUACUCACACCACAAGCACUCAUCAAAUAACACAUUUCCACUGCCUGCACUCUAGACCUCUGACUUUCAU